GACGAACGCUGGCGGCGUGCUUAACACAUGCCAGUCGAACGGAAAGGCCCUGCUUUUGUGGGACGCUCGAGUGGCGAACGGGUGAGUAACACGUGAGUAACCUGCCCUUGACUUUGGGAUAACGUCAGGAAACUGGGGCUAAUACCGGAUAGGAGCUCCUGAUGCAUGGUGGGGGUUGGAAAGUUUCGGCGGUUGGGGAUGGACUCGCGGCUUAUCAGCUUGUUGGUGGGGUAGUGGCUUACCUAGGCUUUGACGGGUAGCCGGCCUGUGAGGGUGACCGGGCACAUUGGGACUGAGAUACGCCCCAGACGCCUACGGGAGGCAGCAGUGGGGAAUCUUGCACAAUGGGCGGAAGCCUGAUGCAGCAACGCCGCGUGCGGGAUGACGGCCUUCGGGGUGUAAACCGCUUUCGCCUGUGACGAAGCGUGAGUGACGGUAAUGGAUAAAGAAGCACCGGCUAACUACGUG
rnacentral:rRNA from 1 species